rnacentral:lncRNA from 1 species
UCCUUGUUGAUGUGCAGUUCUCUUAUCUUCUUGUUGAAUCUUGACUAAGAGGGUGUGUGGCUGAGCUCAUAAGCUCUUUAAAAAAGCUUAUGAUAAUAGCACUUGACAUUUCUCUUUGUACAGUGGUUGCUUAUGACACAUUAUUUUUAUAACUAUAUUUUGGCAGUGAUUUUGGAGACAUGAACAGGUUACUACUAGAUGCAGUUGGAGGCGUAUCGGCCAAGAAGCGAGUUUUUGGGAUUGGUUCACGUUCUCAUGCUUACACGUCCACCUCUAGAUCUAACCAAGGAGCCAGUUUUAGCUCACAGCCUCAGCUUGAUGCAGUUUUAGCCGAUAAGAUGAAGGAGUACGAGGCUCAGAUGCAGGCUAAGAUGGAGGCUAGAGAGGCGCAGAUACGAGAGGAGGCACAAGCUAGAGAGGCUCAGAUGCGUGCAGACGUACAGGCACAGUUGCAGGCACAGCAAGCCGAGUUCAUGAAGAUGCUAGCUGAGAUGAGGAAUCUACCACCCCCUUGAUUAUGUUUGUUUUAGAAACUUGAAUCUAUUUUGCUAGGUGCUAACU